rnacentral:tRNA from 1 species
AGAAUUAAGAGUUACUCAGAAAAAAGCUUCUAACUUUAUUUCUAAGCAGUGAAAUCUCUGUUUUUAUUCUU